rnacentral:rRNA from 1 species
AAAUGAAUUGACGGGGACCCGCACAAGCAGAGGAGGAUGUGGUUUAAUUCGAAGCUAAGCGAAGAACCUUACCGAGGCUUGACAUCUCUGGAAUUUUGGCGAAAGCCGAAAGUGCCUUCGGGAACCAGAUGACAGAUGCUGCAUGGCCGUCGUCAGCUCGUGUCGUGAGAUGUUGGGUUAAGUCCCGCAACGAGCGCAACCCUCGUCGUCAGUUGUAUUUUCUGGCGAGACCGCCCGGGCCAACCGGGAGGAAGGUGGGGAUGACGUCUGGUCAGCAUGGCUCUUACGCCUCGGGCUACACACGUCCUACAAUGGCCACUACAACGCGCUGCCAAACCGUAAGGUGGAGCAAAUCGCAUCAAAAGUGGUCUCAGUUCGGAUUGAGGGCUGAAACUCGCCCUCAUGAAGCUGGAUUUGCUAGUAAUGGCAGGUCAGCCAUACUGCCGUGAAUACGUUCCCGGGUCUUGUACACACCGCCCGU